CCAGUGUCUGCCUCCCCCAUCACAUGGCUGGCUUCUGUGCAUCUGUGUCUCUCAUCUCCUUAUAAGGACACCAGCUGGGCAUGUGGCUCAUGCCUGUAAACCCAGCACUUUGGGAUCCCAAGGCAGGUGGAUCAUGAGGUCAGGAAUUCGAGACCAGCCGGGCCAACAUGGUGAAAUGCCGUCUCUACUAAAGAUACAAAAAAUCAGCUGGGCGUGGUGGAGUAUGCCUGUAAUCCCAGCUACUCAGGAGGCUGAGGUAGGAGAAUCGCUUGAACCCGGGAGGCGGAGGUUGCAGUGAGCUGAGAUGGCGCCAUUGCACUCCAGCCUGGGUGACAGGGUAAGAUUACAUCUCAAAAAAAAAAAAAGGACACCAGUCAUAUUGGCUUAAGGGCCCACCCUAUUCCAAUAUGACCUCAUCUUAAUUUUAUUACAUCUGCAAUGACUCUUUUCAAAUAAGGUCACAUUGUGAGAUACUGAGGGUUGAGACUUCAACGUAUCUUUUGGAGCAUGCAGUUUCACCCAUAACAAUAUAUAUUUCAUGUUUUGGUUAGCAUUGAACUGGUAUAUCUUUUUCUAACUUUUUAUUUCCAAUUGUUAUGGUUUUGCUUUAGGUGUAUCUCUUAUAAACUUUGUUCAUUUGUUUUAUCUAAUCUGAGAAUGUUUCAUUUGAGAGGUAAUCUGUUUACAUUUAUUAUAAUGACGUAUAGUUUAACUGAUUCCUGCCAUAUUUUGUUUUCUAUUUCCCACCCUUUUGUUUUGCUUUGGUUUUUCUCCUUUCCAGCUGUCUUAGUCCCCCCAACACACACACACACACACACACACACACAAAGCAGACUCUGAAAUAAUGGCUUGUCUGCAGCUUGUUUAUUUUAGGAAAUGAUUCAACGAAUAGGAGUGGGGCGGGGGCUGGGAAGAAUGAAAAAGGGAUGAAGACAAAGCUGAUCAUCACCAUAGGCAAAUAGGGUCAAUCCUAUUAGGGACCCUAGAGGAGGGACAUGGAUGCAUCUUGGUCUUGUCUUCAGAGACACUAAUAUUGCUUUUCAAAUGUGGCUGUGUCAUUUUACCUUACAUUUCUCUAUCACAUAUAGAGCAGAGAGUAUUUGGAGCAGAGGGCGUACAUUGCAGCAUGAAUUUACACCACUAUCCUGGCAUGUCUGCAUGGCUGCCAUUUAACUUCUCCAUCAUCCUAUGAGGCACUUUAUCAUCCCUAUUUUAGAAAGGAAGAAAUUGAGGCUCAGAGAGGUAAAGUAAAUUGCCUGAAGUCACACAGAUAAAAAGUGACAGAGCCAGAACUCAAACUCUGUUUUAUCUGAUUCCACAGCCAUUCCUUCCAACCUUAAGCUCUACCGCCUGUGUGGUGCUGGGUGUGAGUCGGAGCUAGCCUGGGUUUACCUGAGUUGCAGGGUCACCCCUCAUCGCACCCUUGUCAGUCCUCAAAUAGGGGUGCAACUGUUCCAUGAAAGGGAACAAAGAGACUGAGCUACUAGACACCAAGCUGUUUAGGACUGAACCCAUUCCUGUCCAAACGGAAGUGAUCCAGAGGGACUCUGAAUAUUACAGAAGUCAAGAGAUUUCAUCAUCUUUAUUCAAAGAAAGGGGUUUGUUUGUUGAUUUUUUGGAUUUUUUUUUUGGACCACAGCUCUAUCUACUCCCUGAAGAGUAAGGAUUAUUAAGUAAAUCAGAUGGAAAAAGAAUCGCAAAUAAGCAUAAUGUGAAGAGCAUGAGCUUUGGAAUAAGCAAGCCUGGAAUUACAAUUUUCUUUUAUUAGCUCUGUGGCUGUAAUACUCAACUUUUGCAAGCUUCAGUUUCCUCGUCUGUGAAAUGGAAUAAUAGCACUUACCUCAUUGGCUGUUGUAUGGAUUAAAUGAGACCAUGACUAUGGAUGUAUGGCAUUUGGUACCCAAUAACCCCUCAAUAAUCGGCAGCUAUAAUUAUUCAUAAUAAUAAUGGUGGUAGCAACAAACCCAGCCCAAACAUCUGAAGGACCGAUCACUAAAAAGAAGAUGAACUCAGUCCUACGUAGUAACAAGAAUGUGACAUCUAUGUUGUUGCCAAAAGUCUGGAGGAGUUGCCAGGACCAGAGAGAAGGAGGUGGUGAGGCCGGCCUGGAAGAGGGAGGGGACAGAUGUCAAGGACCCCAAUCUUGAGGUGGAAAGUUCUGUGAUUAACCCAGAUGAAUGUCUCUAACCUCCAACUCUUCUGUUCUCAGAGUUUUAAUGGGGCACACCGUGUGCUGGGCAUUGACAUAGAUGGGAAAAGCAUGACCUAAAAUAAGGGCUGGAAGCCAAGACUGGGAGGAAGGGCAAAGGGAGCAGGCAGCCUGGCACCAGGUACCAGUGAGGUGUCUGCUCUUUGUCCCCAUCACCUGUCAGCUAAGGAAUUCUGCAUGUCAUCAGUGCAAUAAAAUGUGAUCGCCAGAGUGAAAACCUUGUAAUAGACCAGCUGUGGCUUCUCUCAACACCAGUAUGUCCAAGGAGGAUGCAUUUUUAUUGCUUUUGUGGUCUUAACAAAAAAGAUUCAUGAGCAUUGUAUAAAAGGCAUAUUAAAACAAUUCGGUAAAAGGAUGAAAGAAAAAUAGAGUGCUUGUAGAUUUUUUUUCAGGACGCACACACCUAUACCUGUAUAAAAACGUUGUAUUACGGAAGCUCUCACACAUACACAAAAGUAGCAUGAAUAGCACGUUGGACCCCGAUGUACUCAAGACCCACCUUCAGCAAUGGGAGUGCUGUGUUUAUGAGAGUCCCAAUUAAAGCAACAUUGCUCUUAACAUUUUCCCCAUGUGUCAACAAGCUCCAGUGACCCCAUAAUGCAAACUUAUUCAAUCCCCUGAUAUCCAAGCACCUGAAAUUACCCCUCAUCUCAUUCCCCAACUGCCUCGAGCUCCUAUCUGAAGUAAGAGAGAGCAAGACAGCUGCUCAGAAGGCCUGCUGCCUCUAGCCGACGAUGUUGAACCUGAGAGAGACAGCCUUCGCACCUGGAAAAUGAAGUCACGCUAAUCGGAUGCCCAUUUAGAGGCCUAUGAAAUGAUUGCGGGAAAUGCUUUAGCAGUGAGGUGUCCCACGGAUCUAAGGAAACAGCGUGGACUUUCCAGCCAUGUUCCACUUUGGCCACUGGUGUUUUUCAGAGUCAAUGUGGAGAGGGAAGAGGAUAUGCAAGAUGGGUAGAGGCUGCUCUAAACGUUUAAGCCACAACAGCGCUUUGGGGCUGCAGGAGGGCUCCACGUGCCCUUGAGAGAGGUGGCUCUCAUGGACCCUGAGAGUUUCUGGGAGGCUGGUCAAGAAAGAAGGAUUACUCUUAGGUGGAUGGGACAGCUUCCAUAGCCCCAGAGCUUGGGCCCUUGUGGGAAAAACGGGGCUGGAUAGCAGCGAGUAUGGCCUAGCAGUGGCCUCUCCUACAUACCACGAACUGUCGCCCCUGGCUCAGCCCAAUUUCCUGCCUUCUGUCUCCAGCAGGGCCUCCUGCAGCUUAACAAGAUUCCUCUUCCCUGCUUGCUCUCCUAGCACACCUACUCAGGUUUAUUCCAAACUUGCCUUUCACAAGUCCCAGAACUCACUUCCUCAACCCUUGAACAGAUUACCUCAGUUUGUUUUUUACAGUAAAGACAAGUGCAGAACCCCCUUGGUUUUCUUCUUUGCUCCUAAAUAUGUAUCUGUACUCAUCUCCUCUAUCCUACUAUUACUGUGGAAGGUUUGUCCCCUCUUUCCCAAGGAGAGGCCCCUACCUGUAUCUUCUAUCCUAUCUACCUGCUGCUUCCUCCUUCCGCAGUACUUUCUUUCUCUUUGUCCCCCAAGGGACACUAUCUUGCUAUAAAGAGUGGCCCUGACCAGCCAUAACAGUGUCUUGCAGUGGGGGCCUAUGGAGCGGAGCCACCUCCCAACACCUCCCUUCCAUUCAUUGCCAAAUACAGUGUGUCUCUGACUUGAUGGGCUGGUUGGUUGGUUUAUUGGUUGAUGGAUUGCUGCAAAAACUCUCCACCUCCUAGCUCCUGCCCACUCUUUGUCUGCCUGUGAACCCCAGCACAAAGCAUUCCUUAUCACUAAGCCCUGGGCUCUGGCUGCCCCUGGAGUCUCCUCCCUCAGCCCACAGAUUGCUUACCUGCCUUCUCCCCAUGGUUCCCAUGCCCUACGUGACCUCAGACACCCAAGUGUUCUCUGAAUUCUGAGCACAACUCACUUCAGAAUCCAUAGAAUCCCAGAUCUGUCACUCAAACAGAGGGAUCUCAGGCCAUCACAAAGCCUGUUUCCUGUGUCAAGUGGUGAUAAUAAUAUGGAGUUAUUGUAAAGACAAAAUAGGAUAAUAAAUGUAAGGUGCUUAGCACAAUGCUGGACAAUAUUAAGUGUUCAAUAGAUAAUAGAUAUUAUUAAUUAUCCGGAAGAGCUAAUACAUCUGCCCAUACCUCUGGUUGUGGGCAGUUCAGCACCUUAUUAGGCAACCAUUUAUUGUUGGACAUCACUCUAGUUUUUAGCAAGUUUUCCCUUAUUUAACAAAAUCUGCCAUCGUACGUAGAAUGUGCAAGGCACUCUCUUAAGUGCUUUGCAAACUUUAUUUGAAUCCUCUUGACAACACUAUGAGGUUUCCCCAUUUCUGAGGAAAUAAGGCACAGAGAGAUUAAGUAACUUGCCCAAGGUCACAGAGUUAAUAAGUGGCAGAGCCAGGAAUUAAACCCAGGCAGUCUGAUGCCAGAAUUCUUGUGCUUAAUACUAUACACAGCUGCCCAUUAGGUUGAGCUUCAUUAAAAAGACAUAAAUCAACUCCUGCUCAUCCCUGUGCUCUGAAGUAACACAAAGCAGUCCCCACACUUAGGUACUGCAUCUUAUUUACUUUUCUUUAUUUGUUCACUAGUGCAAUACUUACAGAAUAUCUAGUAGAUGCUGGGCAAUAUUAUGUCCUGAGGCCCAGUGGUGACCAAGACAGACGUGGCCCCUGCUGUCACACUGCUGCCAGCACUUUACAGUGGCUGAUAGUGCCUGGGACACAGUAGGAGCUCAACAGAGUUCGAAAAAAUAGGGUGGGCUCUGCCUUUUGCAGAAAAGCCCCUAUCCUUGGUGGCUGCAGCAAUUCCUGUCUUCAGGGAUUACAACAGGAACACAAAGUUUCACUACAGGGCGCUGUUCAGUAGGGCUGCCCCGAGGACUCAAUUCUGUGCAGGAGGGGAGACUGGGAGGGGAGAUUGGGAGGGCAGGUUGGGUUGUUCAGGGAAGCCUUAGAAGGUUGUAGAACUAGAAGAAAUCACUCACGUUUUAGCAAGAGGUCCUUGCUCAGUUGUGGCUCCUCUGAGGCGGUGCCAGGAGUGGGUCCCCUGACAGCCCAACACACAAAUGGCCACUGACGACUGUUGGGCCCCCCAGGGAAUUUCACAGGCAGUCACUAAACUCCCCCAUUGGGUUCCUGACCAGCCAGUCCAGUGCUGGGCCCCCCUUCCCCAUCCCCAAAGCCUCACAGGCAGGGCUGAGACCAAGGUCUGAUGCUGAAGAAAUUGGCUUCAGACUUGGAGCAGUUUGGAGUACACAGCCAAGAUGAACUAGCAUCAGUUGGCCUCACUGAGCUAAGCAGGAUGGGGAGAAGGAGGGGAGCCAAUGAGACAGGAAGAGUGGCCUGAGGACACGUACUUGCUUGUCAUGAGGAUAGAGUGUAUUCUUCAACAUCAGUUUCAAGUUGGGCUUGACCUCCCCGGCCCCGGCCCGGUACAGGCUACAGGGCUCCUCAGGAUCUGACCCAGUCUAGCCCCCACUCUCCUAGCCCACUGCCCUGGUCACACGGGUCUCCUCACAGCCCCAGGAGCACCCUGGCCCUUCCUGUCCAUUCCUUCUGCUGGGAAGUCUCUUCUCUCAGAAGUUGGGGUGUCUGUUUCCUUCUCAUCAUCCAAGUUCCUGCCCAAAGAGGUCUUCCCUCAGCACCCUGUCUCAAAUGCUAUCAUACCAACUGCAGCCACUCUAUCCACUUGUCCUGAUUUAUGUUCCUUAGAGUGGCAAAGUAUAAUUUUCAAGAGUUAAAAACACAGAUCUCAUACAAAAAUAGAAUAAACACAUCUCAAAGAUUUGUUAACUGAUUAACGCAGAAACUAGUACGAUUACUUCAUGUUGGUUCCAAAAGCAUUUGAGAAACUGGGUGUUUAUAGAGACAUUAAAGAGAAAACAUGUUAGAAGAUUGCUAGGUUAGAUAUAAAAGUUCUUACUGUCCUACAGGAUAACAAAACCAUAACCUUUUGGAUUAUCUUUUCUAUAUGCUAGAAAUCUACAAGUUAACAUGUCACUUCCCAGUGUCUAGACCCUAAUCAGAUAGUAAAUAGGUAUGUCAAGCAAAUAUCCUAGAAAAUUAAAUAAUUUUUGGGUAGUCCUGCUAAACAAAGCCCCCAUAUAAUUUGAAAGGACAUGCCAUGCUUUUGUUUUGAUAGUUUUUCUCAACAAUACCACGCAUCACUGUCUGAGAUUGUCUUGCAUGUUUGUUUAUUGUCAAUCUCAAAUGCCUAUAAGAAAAGCUCCAUAAAGGCCUAAACUCUAUCUUGAUGACCACUGUGUCCCCAGACUCUACUCCAGUUCCUGGUGCAAAGCAGCUAUUCAAUAAAUAUAUUUGUUAAAUUAAAAAAAAGACAUUAUAUAAUAAAAAGUUAUGUUAAUUAAAAGACAGAAAGCAGAAUAGUGGUUACCAGGGCCUGAGAGAAAUUAUCGUUUAAUGAGUUACAGCGCUUCAAUUUGAGAUGAUGAAAAAGUUCUGAAGAUGGACGGUGGUGAUGGUUGCACAACAAUGUGAAUGAACUUAAUGCCACUGAUUGUAACUCAAAACAGUUAAAUUGAUAAAUUUUAUGUUA
rnacentral:lncRNA from 10 species